CCAACCGCCAAUACAAAUCAACGAAGAAGAGAUUGCACAUGCGCAGUUCCUCCUGAGACGUUGGAUUUGAACCAUCACGCGGCAAAAGAACGUUUGUCUGGAUUUGGUUUGAAGGUAAGAGCAUGCAAAAUGUUAAUUUGGAGAGGCCAUGUAUGUAAUACUUCAGUCUGUUUGUAGGUUAAAUGUAUUUCUACAAUUUAGUAAAGUCAGGACUAUGUUCUGUUAAUGUUCUGAGUUGAGUUUUGUUUGUGAGGUAAGGUUUAAGCUAAAGCUAGCUAACCACCUUGUCAUUGUCCCACCUUGUAAAUCUCAAAUUUCUUAAACUGUAAAUAUGAAUUCAUAUCGCCAAAUGCAAUGUGCUUGUUAACUGUUGCGUGCAUCGGCUAUAACUGGCGAUGGCACAGUAAAACUUUAACUUAUCUGCUAGCUCAGCUGUUAAGCAGGAGGUCUGGAUCAGAAUAUUCAUAUAUUCAUUCGAUUUUUAAUUUUGAGAUUCGAAUAUUUUUUUCUGUUUUUAACAUUAGCAUUAAUGCAGAGACUGCCAAGCAGGAAGUGCACUUCACGCUCCCGCUCAAGGUUUGUAACUUACUGUUAAUGUACUCCGAUAUUAAAGGUGGGAUAUAUUUUUCUAUUGAAAGGGCAUUUGGUAUUUUUGUGAUUUUAAAAUAAUAAAGGUUAUUUAUUUAACAUUUUGGCCCAAGCAGAAAAUUAAGGGCACCUCAACUCAGCCUGCAAUUAUUUAAAAUUUUCCCAAAAUAACUGCAUUACUGAAAAAUACUAGAUACUAAACCUAUGCAGUUGCUGCACAUGUCAUUAUGCACAAUUAAUGAAACUUUCUGAAUAGAAAGUUAUGAUAUGAACCAAAUAACCAUACAACCCCCUUGACUAAUUCUAAGCAUAAAAUACAUACAUAUACAAUUUGUUAUAUUCAGAUAGCCUGUUGUAAUGGAAUGAGUAGCAGGGCAAUAUACAUACAUGUAUCCUUUAUGCCUUACAAAGAAAGCGUUCAUUAGAGCUGAUUGGAUGCACAAGUUGCAGUAAUAUAUUCAUUUUCGAGGUUUGUGUAAUACUAGUUUUCUGGCCAGUGUGACCUAGUGAUUUGUUAUUAAAACGCAUCCAAAAUGACUUCAUUAAAUGCUCAUUUGUCUGUUUCUUUAGGUUCUGUCAGAGUUCUUUCGCUUAACCAGCAAAAACCUCAAAAUCGAGUUUUUCAAAGAACUGGACAAAUACACUCCUCGCUGUCUUGACAUUUUCAAGUCCAAGGGUGGAUGUACCGGCCAGAUACUUAAGAUGUAUUUGCAUCAUCAAAUCGCACUGGGGAAUACAGAUGUUACUGCUAAGUGAAAAGCAGUCCUCCGUGGCCUUCCCAUCCUCCUUGGAGAUGAGAACAAAGACUUCUUCAAGACAUACUUUGACUGUGAUGAACCGGAACUGGCCAACACCUCCAUUGAGAUCCUAACAGUAAUCCCUGAAGGUACCCCACCUCAAGGAACACACCAACAUUUUGGGUUUUUAGCUUAUUCACUGUAUUCCCCAGAGUUAGAUAAGUCCAUACAUACCAUUUUCAUCUCUGUGUGUCCUGUAA